UGGGGAAUAUUGCACAAUGGGCGAAAGCCUGAUGCAGCAACGCCGCGUGAGUGAUGAAGGUCUUCGGAUUGUAAAGCUCUGUCUUUUGGGACGAUAAUGACGGUACCAAAGGAGGAAGCCACGGCUAACUACGUGCCAGCAGCCGCGGUAAUACGUAGGUGGCGAGCGUUGUCCGGAUUUACUGGGCGUAAAGGGUGCGUAGGCGGAUGUUUAAGUGAGAUGUGAAAUACCCGGGCUUAACUUGGGUGCUGCAUUUCAAACUGGAUAUCUAGAGUGCAGGAGAGGAGAAUGGAAUUCCUAGUGUAGCGGUGAAAUGCGUAGAGAUUAGGAAGAACACCAGUGGCGAAGGCGAUUCUCUGGACUGUAACUGACGCUGAGGCACGAAAGCGUGGGUAGCAAACAGGAUUAGAUACCCUGGUAGUCCACGCCGUAAACGAUGAGUACUAGGUGUAGGAGGUAUCGACCCCUUCUGUGCCGCAGUAAACACAUUAAGUACUCCGCCUGGGAAGUACGAUCGCAAGAUUAAAAACUCU
rnacentral:rRNA from 1 species